rnacentral:rRNA from 1 species
AGCGAACGCUGGCGGCAGGCUUAACACAUGCAAGUCGAGCGGGCCCUCCGGGGUCAGCGGCAGACGGGGGAGUGACACGUGGGAACGUACACGUUGGUUCGGAAUAACGCAGGGAAACUUGCGCUAAUACAAGAUACGCCCUUUUGGGGAAAGGCUUGCUGCUGCAGGCUCGGGGCGCGUCUGCUUCGCUGGUUGGGGGGGUAAUGGCGUACCAACGGGACGUUCAGUAGCUGGUCGGAGAGGAGGAUCAGCCACGCUGGGACUGAGACACGGCCCAGACUCCUACGGGAGGCUGCAGAGGGGAAUAUUGGACAAUGGGCGCAAGCCUGAUCCAGCCAUGCCGCGUGAGUGAUGAAGGCCUUAGGGUUGUAAAGCUCUUUUGUCCGGGACGAUAAUGACGGUACCGGAAGAAUAAGCCCCGGCUAACUUCGUG